GUUCACUGCUCCCUCCGUCCCAUUUUCACGCUUAACUUUAAUUGUCUGUUUUUUUAUAAUUUAUGAUAAAACAUGAAUAGUAUUUUAUGUGUGACUUAUAUUUUUAAUUUUUUUAAAAAAAAUUGAAUAAGAUAAAUGGUUAAAUUUGUACGCGGAAAAUUAUGGCUGUAUUCAAA
rnacentral:pre_miRNA from 1 species